rnacentral:rRNA from 1 species
UACGUAGGGUGCGAGCGUUGUCCGGAAUUAUUGGGCGUAAAGAGCUUGUAGGCGGUUUGUCGCGUCUGCUGUGAAAAUCCGGGGCUCAACCCCGGACUUGCAGUGGGUACGGGCAGACUGGAGUGUGGUAGGGGAGACUGGAAUUCCUGGUGUAGCGGUGGAAUGCGCAGAUAUCAGGAGGAACACCCGUGGCUAAGGCGGCUCUCUAGUACGGUACUGACGCUGAGACGCGAAAGCGUGGGGAGCGAACAGG